rnacentral:rRNA from 1 species
GACGAACGCUGGCGGCGUGCUUAACACAUGCAAGUCGAACGGAAAGGCCCUGCUUUUGUGGGGUGCUCGAGUGGCGAACGGGUGAGUAACACGUGAGUAACCUGCCCUUGACUUUGGGAUAACUUCAGGAAACUGGGGCUAAUACCGGAUAGGAGCUCCUGCUGCAUGGUGGGGGUUGGAAAGUUUCGGCGGUUGGGGAUGGACGCGCGGCCUAUCAGCUUGUUGGUGGGGUAGUGGCUUACCAAGGCUUUGACGGGUAGCCGGCCUGAGAGGGUGACCGGCCACAAGGGGACUGAGAGAGGGCGCAGACUCCAACGGGAGGCAGCAGUGGGGAAUAUGGCACAAUGGGCGGAAGCCUGAGACAGCAACGCCGCGUGCGGGAUGACGGCCUUCGUGUUGGAAACCGCUUUCGCCUGUGACGAAGCGUGAGUGACGGUAAUGGGUAAAGAAGCACCGGCUAACUACGUG